rnacentral:lncRNA from 1 species
UUUAAGAAACAAACCAUUGCAUGUGGGUUUCUUUCAUGGUCUUGUCCUUCUCUCUUAUCUUGUUAAAUCUGUUUGCAUGUCUUAAUUAUACUCUUUCUUGUUCUCUCUUGAUUUCAUUGUAAAUUGACCAACUGAACCUGAAACUUUUGGUUUUGGUUUUGGUUUGCUAUAUCCCUCUUUAUCUGUUCGGUCUCACUUUUUAGGAAAAUUCAGUUUGUUGGUUAGUCCAUUCCAUUCGGUUCAGAACUGAAUUGAUUGAUUAGGUAGCCCUACCUAUUUGUUAAAAUUUUUGUAGAUCUUGGUGUUAGAAGGCUAUGUUCACUUUGAAAAAAUAAUGUUAAUUUCUGAUCAAAAAGUGAAAAAGGGCUUCUUGUUUGGAUGGUCCAGUAACUAGAAAAGUGUUUUCUCUAUCUAUGGCUUCCACAAACAUAGGCACAAGCAUUGAUAAUUUUAUUUUUUGAAAAUAACAAUUAGUUAAAAGAUUGUAUAAUGACCUUAGAAUAGCUGCUUAAGCUUUCGUAAUUCUAUUCCAUUGAAAGCUACUAGUUUGCUUGCAACAUAUAGUAUGUAUAAUGCACAAAGGGAUCAUCCACCGCUUACUAUCAUUCUUGGCCUCUUUGUGUUUAGGGUUGAGUAUUAUUUGGAAUGAACCUAACCUAUACUAUUUGGUCCAGUUCCUUUAUUUAUAAAUUUGAGUUUUGUGUGCUGUUAUGAUAAAUUUGCUUUUGGUUUUACUUGUAGAGUAACCAAUAGGCAUAAUUAAACUGAAUAUUAAUACACUGCCUGUUUACAUGAUAUUAAAAACCCACCUUAACCUUAAGUCUUUACUCCACCUAGGGGUGUGCAUUGGUUAGUUCAGUUCCAAACUGAAUUGAAUUAGAAAUAAAAUCAAACUACAUAAUAUAGACAAUUGAAGCAACUGAAUUUAAGGACCUAACCGAACCAAAUCAAAUAUAAUCGGUUGAGUCCAUGGUUUCCAGUUCCAGCAAUCAACAGUUCACAACACACCUUCAUUUUAUCAUUCAUCCAAACAAAACAAUCCCAAGAAAAAUCUUCAAUAAUUAACCAAUAAUCAACAUGAUAUUCAAAGGCAACAAAACUUGUUUGCGAAUAAAUCCAUAAGCUAACCUAGAACCCAUGAACCUAGAAACAAAAUCACAUGCUAGAAUCAAUCCACAAAAAAUCUAGAACUCAUGAACCUAGAACCUAGAACAGAACUAGAAAGAACUAGUCAAGGUGAUGCUUGGGCCUCGAUAGCUGACCUAAACAGACGUGCUUUGCUUUGAAUCCAUGAAUCAAGAACCUUGAAUUGCAGAAGGCGGCAGAUGAACUCAGUAGUUACCCGAGUCACUUUAACACGAGAGGUCACAAAAUAGAAUAUCAUGAAUCAAGGUUUUGCUUUGGUGUUUGAAGAGUGACCUGAGUCACAGUAGGUUGGCUUCACAUGGUAGCUACACGAAAUUGGCAAAAAUGAAGGGAAAUCUCCACCUUACUUCGUUCUGCAGCUUCAAAACUUCUGCCCUUGCUUAGAAAACUUAGCCCAGCUUUCAUUCUCCAUCUAUCUGUGACUUUCAAUUUGCUAGCUUCUUUCAAACUUGGUUGAUAGUCCCUAGCUAAUACCCACAUGGUCAUUUCCUUGCUUUGAAGCCCCUAGAUCAGUGGCAGGACAAGUGCAUCUUUGAAGUGAAUUAAGAAUGGCUACUUGCCUUUAAAAAGCCCAAUGUUUGAGUCACGUGCUUUUUAAUCCAAACAUUUAAAUCUUGGACUGAUUGGCUCAACCUUUGCGUGUGGGUGAUAUUUUAGCCAAUUUUCAAAUUCAGAGUAUGAUUUGUUCAUAUGGUAUUCCAUGUAUAAUUUCUAAUUUUUUUUAAUAUUACAUAAUUCCACCUGUGAAAAUAAAUUAACUAUCAUCUAAGUCUAACCCAAAUUAACUACACUUAUCUACCUUGUCAUAGUGCUAGAUUUCAGACAUACCUAAUUCCCAUCUCAGUCACAAUCCCUACAACACAUACCUGUUCCAGGUUCUAUUUUUCUCAGUCAUCAAGAACCCAAGCGCAAUAGACGUCCUCGUAACUGUCUUCUCAGCGCGGUCUUAAAUAUGCAACAAAAGGAGUGUCUCUAGGCCAGGGUAGGUAUAGAUUCGAAUAUUUUCUACCAUUUGACCUUUUCACAUUGGAUAUCAUGCAACUGUGGGCAUUUGUGUGCAUUUUGUUGAUGCUUGGGUCAAUAGUCUUUUGAUAUAGUAGAUGGAAUGCUUACUUUUGGGAAAGAAAUCAAGAAUGCAACUUUGUUUGGUAAGAUAGUUGUGUUUUCUUUUUCUGGCAUUGAUCAAGCCAGAUUUGGCUAUAUAAAACUGUAGGUUUUUUUUUUGACAGAUGAUUUCUAGGCAUAAAACUGAACUAAAUGAAAAACAAACAAAUUAUUUCGGCUUUAAACCUUAUUCAAUUUAGUUUGAUGUUACUUCCAUGUAAUUUGUUUUUUUCAAUUCAGAUAAAAAUCGAUCAACAGACCAAAUACUCACCAUUGCUCGUAUUCCACGUUAACCCCUUGAGAAUUUGCAUCAAUUAACCACAGCCCAAUAAAUUGAAACAUGCAAGAUGCUAGCACUGGUCAUUAAUACAAUAGAUGCUCCAUUAGUUCAUUAAUCUUUACAUCAUAAACCAAUAAAUAUACUUCCUUUUAUUAAGUUAUAAACAGUGUGGAUCUCUGGACCUUCAUAAAGUAGAAUCGGUUGAGUAACAGGCAACUGAGCAGUGCCUGCUGCCUGACUUCCCAUGAAAUUGCUCUUGUCAUCUCGUAAUAAGCUUUGCCUCAAACUUUGCCUUUGGAUGAUGUGCAGCUUGAAACUGGAAAAAAAUGGUUUUAUGGUGCUGAUACCAUAAUUCUGUCAUUUGAUUAGCACGAAAAAAUUUUCAACAAGCUAUGAGUGG